rnacentral:rRNA from 1 species
AAACUCUGUCGUGCUGGGGAUAGAGCAUUGCAAUUAUUGCUCUUCAACGAGGAAUUCCUAGUAAGCGCAAGUCAUCAGCUUGCGUUGAUUACGUCCCUGCCCUUUGUACACACCGCCCGUCGCUACUACCGAUUGAAUGGCCCAGUGAGGCCUUCGGACUGGCCCAGGAAGGUCGGCAACGACCAUCCAGGGCCGGAAAGUUGGUCAAACUUGGUCAUUUAGAGGAAGUAAAAGUCGUAACAAGGUUUCCGUAGGUGAACCUGCGGAAGGAUCAUUAAUAAAACCCGGGCCAGCGCCCGCACGUUUCAUACAACCCAUCUGUGUACCUCUCCAAGUUGCUUCCGUGCGGCAAGGGGCGUGCCAGCCACGCCCCGGGGGCUCCGGCCCCGCCCACGGGAGGACCCAGCGAACUCAUGUUUGAACCUCGCAUGUCUGACAGGCGUCUCCGGACGCGAAAAAUGUAAAUAAGUUAAAACUUUCAACAACGGAUCUCUUGGUUCUCGCAUCGAUGAAGAACGCAGCGAAAUGCGAUAAGUAAUGUGAAUUGCAGAAUUCAGUGAAUCAUCGAAUCUUUGAACGCACAUUGCGCCCUCUGGUAUUCCGGAGGGCAUGCCUGUUCGAGCGUCAGCAACAAACCCCUCAAGCCCAGGCUUGGUCAUGGCGGCGGUGGGUCACUAUUCGGUGGCCCACCCCAGCUGAAAAUCAUAGGCGGAGGUCCCCUCCCCGGCCCCGGACGUAGUAAUAAACCAUUCGCCCAAAGGCCAGGAAGCGGGAACGCCAGCCUCUAACCCCCAAUGCAUUGACUCUCAGAGUUUGACCUCGGAUCAGGUAGGGAUACCCGCUGAACUUAAGCAUAUCAAUAAGCGGAGGAAAAGAAACCAACAGGGAUUGCCUCAGUAACGGCGAGUGAAGCGGCAAAAGCUCAAAUUUGAAAUCUGGCGCCUUCGGCGUCCGAGUUGUAAUUUGGAGAGGCAUCUUCGGGUGGGGCGCAGGCCUAUGUUCCUUGGAACAGGACGUCACAGAGGGUGAGAAUCCCGUGCACGGCCGGCUGUCCCCGUCCAUGUGAAGUGUCUUCGACGAGUCGAGUUGUUUGGGAAUGCAGCU